GCGUUCGUGGUGUAAUGGUUAGCAUGGAGCCUUCCAAGCAUUCGACGGGGGUUCGAUUCCCCCCGAACGCA
rnacentral:tRNA from 1 species